rnacentral:rRNA from 1 species
GACAGAGGGUGCAAACGUUGUUCGGAUUUACUGGGCGUAAAGCGCGUGUAGGCGGCUUGGCAAGUCGGAUGUGAAGGCCCACGGCUCAACCGUGGAGGCGCAUCCGAAACUGCUUCGCUCGAGUCUCGGAGAGGAAGGUGGAAUGCUUGGUGUAGAGGUGAAAUUCGUAGAUAUCAAGCAGAACACCUGCGGCGAAGGCGGCCUUCUGGACGAUGACUGACGCUGAGACGCGAAAGCGUGGGGAGCAAACAGG